rnacentral:rRNA from 1 species
UACAGAGGUCUCAAGCGUUGUUCGGAUUCAUUGGGCGUAAAGGGUGCGUAGGCGGCGCGGUAAGUCGGGUGUGAAAUCUUGGAGCUUAACUCCGAAACUGCAUUCGAUACUGCCGUGCUUGAGGACUGGAGAGGAGACUGGAAUUUACGGUGUAGCGGUGAAAUGCGCAGAUAUCAGGAAGAACACCCGUGGCGAAGGCGGCUCUCUGGGACGGUACUGACGCUGAGACGCGAAAGCGUGGGGAGCGAACAGG